UACGGAGGGUGCAAGCGUUGUCCGGAUUUAUUGGGUUUAAAGGGUGCGUAGGCGGUUCUUUAAGUCUGGGGUGAAAGCCCGUUGCUCAACAACGGAACUGCCCUGGAAACUGGAUGGCUUGAGUACAGACGAGGGUGGCGGAAUGGAUGCUGUAGCGGUGAAAUGCAUAGAUAGCAUCCAGAACCCCGAUUGCGAAGGCAGCUGCCUAGACUGUAACUGACGCUGAGGCACGAAAGCGUGGGGAGCGAACAGG
rnacentral:rRNA from 1 species